ensembl:snRNA U6 U6 spliceosomal RNA
GUGCUCACUUCGGCAGCACAUACGCUAAAACUGGAAUGAUACAGAGAAGAUUAGCGUGGCCCCUGUGCGAGGAGGCCACGCAAAUUUGUGAGGCGUUCCAUAGUUUU